AUUACAUCAAAACUACGUUUCAAUCUAAUCCCAGCUUUGAAGGUGUCUCAGUGAGGUAAUAAAUGGGAACUGUGAUCGGACUGCAGCCUGCAGUGCCACACUUUGCACUGAGGACUUCUGGUACCUCCAACAACGCCCUCUGGGAGUCUCAGAGCCUGAACUGUCAGAGCCUCAUUUCACUCACUGUGUGGGAAGCUGUUGGGAAUCUGUCGCCACGUUUUUACCUCCUCUGUGAAUGCUGGAGCUGCAGAUCAGAACCGUUACCCUUCAUUCAUGGUAUCGUUGCAACCGUUUUGCUCUGAGCAGAAUUCCUGUCUGUUCUUCCAGUGUUUUCAGUUUUCACAACAGCUGCAGCCGUCCUAAAACCACAGCUCUGACGUUUGAUUGCCACCGUGUGAUUUUGCUUUAGCCUCAUGCUUGGCACAGCACUUCAACAAAGAGUUGUUGGGUUUUCACAGCUUUGGGCAACAGUGCAGACAUCCCUUCAUUGCAAAAUCUCCCCCGGAGAUUCGCAGAGCAGCGACUCGAGUGGAACGAUGUUUAAAAGCUGCGUUGAUGUAAAACAGAAAUGGAAAAAUGUUGUUUGAAGUUUGGAGAUAGUGCUUUGGUAUUAAGAAGGAGGCAUCUUCCUCCACACGCUGAAUAACACCGAAUAAUCAACUGGGCUGUUGCAUUGUCCCGUGUGUGGAAGCGCUUGGAGGGAGCAAUUAGCAGCACAAGAUAAUUUGGUCACUCAGUUAUUAAAUAAGAUUAGAAAAUAUACGUAACCUGUCUGAUCUUUCUGUCUACUUCAGGGAAGGAAGCAGUGGUGGGCCACUCUGAGGAAGCGAAUGCUCCACUGACAGCGGGGAUGACUCACACGUGAGAGCUGUGUCUUGAGCUGUCCUGAAAAUCUCCCUUUUAAGAAGGUGAUGGCUGAGCCAUCCUCUCCUGCUAUUCACUGUGGCCAACCAAUACCAUUCACUUCUGCAGACUUACCCUUACGCUGCGGAGUUGGGCAUCCAGUGUUCAAGAAAACAACUCAUAAAUGGAAAAUAGCACCAUUCUGACUGAAGAACAAGUCCUUGAUGUCAGACAUGCAUUCACUGCAGCCCUUACCAAAUAAAUGGAGAAAAUGGCUUACAGGCAACCAUCAGGUUACAGCUUUGGGGUGCUGUCAGCAUACAAGGUCACAGCUGUCAAAAACGCACCAGGAACACAGGUACUUUUCAAAACAACACAGUAUGUUAUCACCGGUCCUCACAGAGAGAAAAAAAAAUCAUUAUUGCAGAUUAGAAUGUUUUUAAAAGCCAAACUACAGAAACUUGAGGAAAUGUACCUUUUAUAGCAUUACGCCAAGUACAAAUUGUGCCAAAGUGAACAAAAGCUUGCUUUUAAACCUACAUCAAGAAGUGCCUUUCUCCUCUUCCUCUCUCUGGCUGGGCUGACAACGCUCACCUGUCUCCAGCAUCGAGGGGUUGGUUGGUUUGGUUGGUUGGUUUUGGGUUUUGUUUUUAAGCAAAGAACUUGGUAAGAAAAUCAAUAGAAUGAGGAAAGAACUUUUAAUAACCUAAGUGGAAUUCAAAACAUGAACUGGGCCUGAAGGCAUCUCCCCCUCAUCCCAAAGAUCGAGUCCAUUUCCUUUCCACCCUCACCCCUCAAAGACAGUAGAUAUGGAAACAUACUAGAGCAGAAGACUUUUUUUGUGUGUUUUUUACACGUUUGGUAGUUUACUGUACACACUGCUAACUGAUGUUAACACUUCAUUCUGCUAACAUUUAAAAGACCGUACAUAAAAAACAGCAAAGGAGAAGGGCAGCAUCAGUUCUAGGAAGCCCUGCACUCCCUUACUCAUUGGAAGAGGCUGCUCCUGUCUAAAACUUCACUGGCAGACCCAAAAGUCAGUACUUCUUUGUGAAACUUCGUGAGCUGCUGCUUUAUUUUUCUCAUGGCAGAAGAUGAUUCCUUUUUCUUGUACACCACAUCUUUCAAAAGUUUAUCUGACAAGUAGUGCAGCCAGAGGACAUUGCUGUGUGGAUGAUAGUCAGUCCAGCUGUUGGAGUUCUCCAUCUUCAUUUGCCUGUAGAUAUCAAACUGGUAGUCCCCUGUGCCUUGAAACAGCUCUUCAUCAGUGGAAAGGUCACAGAAGACAGUUAACCCAUCUUUCUCCAGCCUAGACAAGGUAUAAUCUAUGAUGUUGACAUGGAUCCCUGCUGUGGGGAUUGUGCACGUAGACCCAUUCAACACGUAGUUAAGCUCCUUUGCAUCUGUUUUCUUUACCAGCACAUUCCCCCAGUGCAAGUCUCUGUGCUCAAAGUGCAGUUCCUGCUCUGCCACAGCCAGUGAAGCAGUCACCUGGUGCAGAAUGCUUUUUGCCGAAGCCACAGUACUCAGUUUCUUUCUCAUGUUCUCCAAAUCGCUGCCUCCAAAUUCAAACUCCAGAACCAUAAAGAGUUGCUCUUCC
rnacentral:lncRNA from 7 species